rnacentral:rRNA from 1 species
CCUACGGGGGGCUGCAGUGAGGAAUAUUGGUCAAUGGACGAGAGUCUGAACCAGCCAAGUAGCGUGAAGGAUGACUGCCCUAUGGGUUGUAAACUUCUUUUAUAAAGGAAUAAAAUGAGGCACGUGUGCCUUUUUGCAUGUACUUUAUGAAUAAGGACCGGCUAAUUCCGUGCCAGCAGCCGCGGUAAUACGGAGGAUCCGAGCGUUAUCCGGAUUUAUUGGGUUUAAAGGGAGCGUAGAUGGGUUGUUAAGUCAGUUGUGAAAGUUUGCGGCUCAACCGUAAAAUUGCAAUUGAUACUGGCAGUCUUGAGUACGGUUGAGGUAGGCGGAAUUCGUGGUGUAGCGGUGAAAUGCUUAGAUAUCACGAAGAACCCCGAUUGCGAAGGCAGCUUACUAACCUGUGACUGACAUUGAUGCUCGAAAGUGUGGGUAUCGAACAGGAUUAGAUACCCUUGUAGUC